GUAAAUCAUGUGUAAUUGCUUGUAAAUUGGGAAACAAAUAGUAUUUUUGCUUAAAUUACUCUCUUUGCAACGUUUCUUAGGGAAUUAAGGUUGUAUGGAGGACCUUUCACCUCCGUGGGACUGAAAUUCGCUUUGGGACCCAAUCCAAACUGCCUUGGAGUCUCUCUCGGAGCCACAUUCCAGCAGAUCAGGGGGCCUUUGGUUCCAAUGGAGAAGAAAUUGACUGAAGUUGUCAUAAAUACCUCCUCUAGGUGGGACACUUCCACAGAGAGGCCAGCACCAUCCCAUUCCUCUUUAGAGAUCACAUGGAAUACAAGUUCAAAGCAGGGCUCAAGUGUGCAUUCCACCUCUUCCCAGCCGUGCGACUUUGGGUGAGUUCCCAAGCCUCUCUGGGCUGUAGAUGUUCAAAGGGGGCGAGUUGUGAUGUGCAGCUUAGAGAGCUGUAGUGCAGACUCAAUGAGGUAAUGGCAACACGAGCUCCACACAGUGCCUGCUAUACAGAAAGCAUCCCUCCACACCAUGGCUGUUCAGGUAACUCCCAGGUCUCCUCCUGGGUACGCAGGGAGCCAUCAGGAAGCUUGACGAGUGUGACUUGCAAGUCCCACCCGGUGUCCUGAAUGUCUUGGUCUCAGGAGGCUGAGCACACUUGGGGGUGGGGUGAUCUAUUUCCAGAGCUGUUUGCCCUGUUGCUGGCCUUCCGCACACCUCCCCGAG
rnacentral:lncRNA from 1 species